UACGUAGGGUGCAAGCGUUGUCCGGAAUUAUUGGGCGUAAAGAGCUCGUAGGCGGUUUGUUGCGUCGGCUGUGAAAUCCCGAGGCUCAACCUCGGGUCUGCAGUCGAUACGAGCAAACUAGAGUGUUGCAGGGGAGACUGGAAUUCCUGGUGUAGCGGUGAAAUGCGCAGAUAUCGGGAGGAACACCAGUGGCGAAAGCGACUUUCUGGGCUGCACCUGACACUCUAGUGCGAAAGCGUGGGGAGCAAACAGG
rnacentral:rRNA from 1 species